AGAAAUACAGAACGUUGGAAUGAAUCUUCAUCACUUUCUAAUAUGGGAAGAAAAUGCCUUUGAAGGGAGCGUUGUGGUGGUGCAUCAGAGGCUUUCUCCUUGGCAGAGUGUGAGAGUGGUCUAUUGCAGUACGGUAGUGCCCUCUGAUGAGGUGACGGUGGUUUACCAAAAUGGCUUACCUGUGAUUUCUGUGAAUCUUCCAUCUCGGCGCGAACGUUGCCAGUUCACGCUUAAACCUAUCUCAGACUCUGUUGGUGUGUUCUUACAACAGCUGCAAGCAGAGGACCGAGGAAUUGAUCGGGUUGCGAUCUACUCAGCAGAUGGCACCCGUGUUGCUUCCUCCACGGGCAUAGAUUUGCUUCUACUGGAUGACUUCAAACUGAUCAUCAAUGACAUCACAUAUCAUGUUAGACCACCAAAGAGAGAGCUCUUAAGCCAUGAGAACGCAACCACGCUGAAUGAUGUCAAGACAUUGGUUCAGCAGUUGUACACUGCCUUGUGCAUCGAGGAGCACCAGCUGAACAAAGAGAAGGAGCUCAUAGGGAGGCUAGAGGAAUUGAAGGAGCAACUAGCACCACUAGAAAAAGUAAGGCUGGAGCUCAGCAGGAAAGCAGAGAAGAGGACAACCUUGGUGUUGUGGGGAGGGCUGGCCUACAUGGCCACUCAGUUUGGGAUUCUGGCCCGCCUCACCUGGUGGGAAUACUCUUGGGACAUUAUGGAACCAGUCACCUAUUUCAUCACCUAUGGUAGUGCCAUGGCAAUGUAUGCUUAUUUCGUAAUGACUCGCCAGGAGUAUGUUUAUCCAGAUGCAAGAGACAGACAGUACUUACUAUUUUUCCAUAAAGGAGCCAAAAAGUCACGAUUUGAUCUAGAGAAAUACAAUCAACUCAAGGAUGCAAUUGCUCAGGCAGAAUUGGACCUUAAGAGGCUUCGAGAUCCACUGCAGGUUCACCUGCCCAUCCAGCAAAUUGAUGAAAAGGACUGAUCAGCAAAGAAGCUCUGAACUCUGGCAAAAAACCUGUUCAUAGCUCUUGCCUUUUAAAUUAAAGCAUUGCAGGUGGAAGCUGGGAGGUGGUGUGUGGGUGGAGGGGUUUUGGUUGGCUUUUUUUUUUUAACCUUUAAUCAAGAUAAAGGACUGUAAGGGGAAAUCUCUUAAAUUUGAAGAUGGGGCAUUGUGGAAUGUUAGUUCCGAAAAGGGCUUGGCAAAUAGUCAUAUUUAAAACCGUGUGAACGGCAAUUGUGUACAAAUACAGGAUUGGGGGGGUUCAUGAAAAGAAUGUAAUGCUGGGGCAGGGAUGUCUUCUUCCAGCUCUGCAGAGUCUGCCUCCUGAUAAGACACCAGCAGCCUGCUUAGCUUUUUAAAGUUUCCUUUACCUGACUCAGUUCUCUCUUUCUCUCUUAACAAAACAAAAAAGGGAAAAAAAAAAAGAACAAAGAAUCCACGCCACCUGGAGCUAUGGCUGGUGAUCAGAUCUUGCGCUCCACCGCCAUUAACACGCACACUUCUGAUCAGACCUGGUCUCUUUUAUAAAGUUACUACAAGACUGCUUUCUACUGGAAAACCGUGGUUUCUUCCUGACCUUAACAUCACUGAGGCCACGUGGUGCAGAUAAUAACUUUCCUGAAGAAGCUUGGAUGGAGGUCUUCUUGCUGCCAUAUCUAGCUGCAUAACACAGGGAUCUCAAGAGCAAUUGAGGUGGUCAGGUAGAAGUAGAGAUGUUUGGUCUAACAAAGGUGGCUACCUUUAUUUGACCAGCAUAGUAGUUCCCUGUGGAGGCUGGCAACAUCUGGUGACAUGUGACAAGUUGCAGAAUAAGAAUGUAUGUAACACCCAGCAACCUAAAACAUGCCAAGCAAAUUGGAACAUGCCAUUCAAAUACUGUUUCAAAGGAAAGUUCAAGUUUUAAGCUCACAUUCCUUCCUUACUGAGCCCUUCUGAGUCCUUCAAUGGCUGUGAUUAAUCUGAUUAGUCAUGAUGAUAUAUCUUUAAUUCAUUAACAUUAUGUGUCAGCAGACUGUGUACUUAAUCCUAACUUUAUUGGAUAUUAGGAAGAGAUGUUCAGUGUCAGAAGAUUUUUAUCAUGUCUGUAAAAUUUCAUGAUUGUCAGCUUUUCCAACAGUGAAGUCUCUUGUCUGUCUUUAAAGUCAGAGAUGAGGGACCAGAGGCUGUUAACGGUGGUGAGCUGCUUUUAAACAUUGCUGAAAUUUACUUCAGCAGUGCUGGCAAACCCUUUUCCUCCAAGCAGCUCAGAACGAUUGUGUAAGAAUGCAUCCAUUUUCUCAUCAAGAAGAACUGAAGGUUUUGACACUUAACACCAAAAUCCGUAUUUUGAAAGCAGGAAAGCACUAGAAGGCUGUGCUGCCAUUGAACAAGACAGACUGGAGAGUUGGACAGAGUGGGGUUCAACAAGACUAAAUGUAGGUUCCUGCAGCUGGGGGGGAAUAACUGCAUGCAUCAGUACAGGUUAGGGGCUGACCUGCUGGAGAGAAGCUCUGAGAAGAAGAACCUGAGUGUCCUGGUGGACAACAGGUUGGCCCUGAGCCAGCAGUGUGUUUUUGUGGCCAAGAAGGCCAGUGGAAUCUAGGGAUGCAUUAAGAUGAAUGUGGCCAGCAAGUUGGGGGAGGUGAUCCUCCCUGUCUACUCUGCCCUGGUGAGGCUGCACCUGGAGCACUGUGUCCAGUUCUGGGCUCUGUGUUUCGAAAAAGACAGGGAUAUUCAAAAGAGAGUCCAGCAAGGGGCCACAAAGAUGAUGAGGGGUCUGGAGCAUCUCCCAUAUGAGGAAAGGCUGAGAGACCUAGGACUGUUCAGCCAAAACUGAAAGAUGAUAACUGUCUAUGUUUAAAAGUAUCUAAUGUGCAGGAGACAAAUGGAUGGGGCCAGGCUUUUUUCAGUGAUGUGUGGUGACAGAAUAAGGAGCAGUGGGCAAACACUGGAAUACCAGAAGUUCCGUACAAACAUGAAAAAAAUUAUUUACUGUGAGGUGACAGUACACUGGAACAGGCUGUCUGGAUAGGCUGUGGAACCUCCUUCUCUGAGGAUAUCCAAGACCUUCCUGAAUGCUUUCCUGUGCAGCCUGCUUGUUGGGUAGUAGCCUGCUUUAGCAGGAGAUUGGGCUCAAUGAUCUCCAGAUGACCCUUCUGAUUCUUGUGAUUUCUGGAGAAGCGGGCAGCCCAUGGCUUGGAUAGGCACAUUCUUUGCUGGGUAAAAAAUUGGCUGGAUUGGCUCAGAAAGUGGUGGUGAAUGGAGUAAACACCAGAUGGCAACCAGUCACGAGUGGUCUUCCUCAGGGGUUGGUAUUGGGACCUGUCCUGUUUGAUGUCUUUAUUGAUGACCUAGAUGAGGACAUUGAGUGCAUCCUCAGUAAGUUUGCAGAUAACACCAAGUUGGCUCGAAGUGUCGAUCUGCCUUGGGGUAGGAGGGCCCUACAGAGGGAUCUGGACAGGCUGGAUUGCUGGGCUGAGGCCAAUGGGAUGAGGUUCAGCAAGACCGAGUGCCAGGUCCUGCGCUUUGGCCACAGCAACCUCAGGCAACAGUAGAGGCUUGGGGCGGAGUGACUGGUUUCCUCUGUGUAGAGGAAACAGACCUGGGGUACUGAACAACGCUUAGUUGAAUGUGAGCCAGCAGUGCGCCCAGGUCAAUGCCAAUGGCAAGAAGGCCAGUGGCAUCCUGACUUGUAUCAGAAAUGGUGCAGUCAGCAGGAGCAGGAAGAGACUGUGCCUCUGUACUCGGCUCUGGUGAGGCUGCUCCUUGAGUGCUGUGUUCAGUGUUGGGCCCCUCGCUACAAGAAAGGCACGGAGGCCCUGCAGCACGUUCUCAGCCUGGAGAAGAGGAGGUGCAGGGGAGACCUUAUUGCCCUCUACAACUCUUUGAAAGGAGGUUGUGGUGAGGUGUGGGUCAACCUUUUCCAUGUAGCUGGCAAUAGUACAAGAGGGAAUGGCCUCAACUUGCACCAGGAGAGAAUUCAGGUUGUGUGUUAGGAAAUACUACUUCUUUGAGAGCGCCGUCAGGUGCUGGCAUGGGCUGCCUAGGGAGGUGGAGGAGUCACUAUCCCUGGAGGUGUUCAAGAAACGUUUAAUGUUGUACAGAGGGACAUGGUUCAGUGGGAAAUAUUGAUGAUAGGUGCACUGACGGACUGGAUGAUCUUGGAGGUCCUUGCCAACCUUGGUGGUUCUGUGAUUGUCUGGUAUGUUCCUGUCCCACUGACUCAAUUUUAAGCGCAAACAGUGCCAGAAUCUUAAUGCAACAUUGUGUUUUUAAGACCUCACGAAGUAUAAACAGCAGCAUCUAUUGCAAUGUUCUGAUGCCUCUUUUUUUACCAGUUUUAUUGUUUAUUUGCUUUUAAUCUCUCCUCUCAUUUUCUGUAAAGGACCUUUCAAAUAAACAAGUUUAAAAUUGU